UACAGAGGUCUCAAGCGUUGUUCGGAUUCAUUGGGCGUAAAGGGUGCGUAGGCGGCGAGGCAAGUCUGGUGUGAAAUCCCGGGGCUCAACCCCGGAACUGCACUGGAUACUGCUUUGCUAGAGUACUGGAGAGGGAACUGGAAUUUACGGUGUAGCAGUGAAAUGCGUAGAUAUCGUAAGGAAGACCAGCGGCGAAGGCGAGUUCCUGUACAGUUACUGACGCUGAGGCACGAAGGCCAGGUGAGCAAACGGG
rnacentral:rRNA from 1 species